UACUAGUCCUGAUAGCAGCGAAAACAUUUUUGAACAAAGACUAUUUUUUAUGGUUAGUGCAGAGCGACCAAAGGAAGCUCCUUCAAUAACCAAUAAAAAAAGGAUUUUGAAAAAAAUAUUGAAGCGAAUAGCAGGAAUGGCU
rnacentral:sRNA from 1 species